rnacentral:rRNA from 1 species
AAGUCGAACGGCAGCACGGGAGCAAUCCUGGUGGCGAGUGGCGAACGGGUGAGUAAUAUAUCGGAACGUGCCCAGUCGUGGGGGAUAACGCAGCGAAAGCUGUGCUAAUACCGCAUACGAUCUCUGGAUGAAAGCGGGGGACUCGCAAGGGCCUCGCGCGAUUGGAGCGGCCGAUAUCAGAUUAGCUAGUUGGUGGGGUAAAAGCCCACCAAGGCGACGAUCUGUAGCUGGUCUGAGAGGACGACCAGCCACACUGGAACUGAGACACGGUCCAGACUCCUACGGGAGGCAGCAGUGGGGAAUUUUGGACAAUGGGCGCAAGCCUGAUCCAGCAAUGCCGCGUGCAGGAUGAAGGCCUUCGGGUUGUAAACUGCUUUUGUACGGAACGAAACGGUCUGCUCUAAUAAAGUGGGCUAAUGACGGUACCGUAAGAAUAAGCACCGGCUAACUACGUGCCAGCAGCCGCGGUAAUACGUAGGGUGCGAGCGUUAAUCGGAAUUACUGGGCGUAAAGCGUGCGCAGGCGGUUUUGUAAGACAGGCGUGAAAUCCCCGGGCUCAACCUGGGAACUGCGCUUGUGACUGCAAGGCUAGAGUACGGCAGAGGGGGGUGGAAUUCCACGUGUAGCAGUGAAAUGCGUAGAGAUGUGGAGGAACACCAAUGGCGAAGGCAGCCCCCUGGGUCGAUACUGACGCUCAUGCACGAAAGCGUGGGUAGCAAACAGGAUUAGAUACCCUGGUAGUCCACGCCCUAAACGAUGUCAACUAGGUGUUGGGAGGGUAAAACCUUUUAGUACCGGAGCUAACGCGUGAAGUUGACCGCCUGGGGAGUACGGCCGCAAGGUUAAAACUCAAAGGAAUUGACGGGGACCCGCACAAGCGGUGGAUGAUGUGGAUUAAUUCGAUGCAACGCGAAAAACCUUACCUACCCUUGACAUGUCCAGGAGCCCUGAGAGAUUGGGGUGUGCCCGAAAGGGAACUGGAACACAGGUGCUGCAUGGCUGUCGUCAGCUCGUGUCGUGAGAUGUUGGGUUAAGUCCCGCAACGAGCGCAACCCUUGUCGUUAAUUGCCAUCAUUUAGUUGGGCACUUUAACGAGACUGCCGGUGACAAACCGGAGGAAGGUGGGGAUGACGUCAAGUCCUCAUGGCCCUUAUGGGUAGGGCUUCACACGUCAUACAAUGGUCGGUACAAAGGGUUGCCAAGCCGCGAGGUGGAGCCAAUCCCAGAAAGCCGAUCGUAGUCCGGAUCGUAGGCUGCAACUCGCCUGCGUGAAGUCGGAAUCGCUAGUAAUCGCGGAUCAGCA